rnacentral:snRNA from 1 species
UCCCCUUUUUCGCAUUGUGAAUAAGUGAUGCAAAUAAAAUCAGUUUAAUUAAAACCUGGGACGGAAACGAUUCGUUUCCUCUAUGCAUUAAUCGGAUUUUUGAACUUGGAGUAUGGUGCUGGAGCUUGCUUCACCCCCUGCUCACGGGUUGUCCUGGUAUUGCAGUCAGUACCUCCAGAUUAGGCUCACGUUUC